ACCACAUCAUAUGUAAGGCCCCAUUUUUUCUGAGGCCCCAUUUUUCCUGCCUCAGAGGUUAGUGGGCUGCCUCUAAGUGGGCCUAAGGGUUAGCCCAAUGUAUAUAAGCUCUGCUAUGUUGCCCUAAUCCCACCUCACAUUCACUCUUUCAGAAACCAGCCGCCAUCCCUCACUACCUCUCACGAAAAGCUCUGCUAGGGUUUACCCUAAGGUCCCCCUCCUUCAAGCUCAAACUCAGUCCUACUCACCUGCUGACCACCCUAAGGACAGUUUGGUCUCCUGUGUGCGUGCCGGAGCGUUCCGCUAACUUGAUUUCCAGAUGGGCGAGGCUCUCGUGGUCAACCAGGGAAUGACGACUCCGCUACUUAGCCAUCUGGGCUAGAUCUCGAACGUCUUUCUUUCAUGUUUCUUUAGGGCUAUGGCCCCUGUAUUCGUGGUUAUUAGAUUGUAAACUUUUAGUUAAACAGCUAUCCUGCUUUUGUUGGCAUCGUGGUGUGCCUAGCUAGUUUUGUAGGGGUGAGGUUGAGAACCCCAGGACUACGCUGCUAUACUUUAUCGCGUGACGUUCUUUUAAUUUCGUUUAAUAAUUAAAUGGGACGUUACA